AACGAACGCUGGCGGCAGGCCUAACACAUGCAAGUCGAACGUGAAGCCACCUUCGGGUGGUGGAAAGUGGCAGACGGGUGAGUAACGCGUGGGAACGUGCCUUUCGGUUCGGGAUAACCCAGGGAAACUUGGGCCAAUACCGGAUACGCCCUUCGGGGGAAAGAUUCAUUGCCGAAAGAUCGGCCCGCGUCGGAUUAGCUAGUUGGUGGGGUAAAAGCCUACCAAGGCGACGAUCCGUAGCUGGUCUGAGAGGAUGACUAGCCACACUGGGACUGAGACACGGCCCAGACUCCUACGGGAGGCAGCAGUGGGGAAUAUUGGACAAUGGGCGCAAGCCUGAUCCAGCCAUGCCGCGUGGGUGAAGAAGGCCCUAGGGUUGUAAACCCCUUUCAGCGGGGAAGAUAAUGACGGUACCCGCAGAAGAAGUCCCGGCUAACUCCGUGCCAGCAGCCGCGGUAAUACGGAGGGGACUAGCGUUGUUCGGAAUUACUGGGCGUAAAGCGCACGUAAGCGGAUUUGUAAGUCAGGGGUGAAAUCCCGG
rnacentral:rRNA from 1 species